rnacentral:rRNA from 1 species
UACAGAGGUCCCAAGCGUUGUUCGGAUUCACUGGGCGUAAAGGGUGCGUAGGUGGCCAGGUAAGUUCGGUGUGAAAGCUCGGAGCUCAACUCCGAAAUGUCAUUGAAUACUAUCUGGCUUUAUUGAGGGUCGGAGGGGAGACUGGAAUUCUCGGUGUAGCAGUGAAAUGCGUAGAUAUCGAGAGGAACACCAGUGGCGAAGGCGAGUCUCUGGACGACACCUGACACUGGAGCACAGAAGCUAGGGGGAGCAAACAGG